rnacentral:rRNA from 1 species
UUGCAURUCAAUAAGCGGAGGAAAAGAAACCAACCGRGAUUGCCCUAGUAACGRCGAGGAAGCGGCAAGAGCUCAAAUUUGAAAGCUGGCCCCCUCGGGGUCCGCAUUGUAAUUUGCAGAGGAUGCUUCGGGAACGGCCCCCAUCUAAGUGCCCUGGAACGGGCCGUCAUAGAGGGUGAGAAUCCCGUCUGGGAUGGGGUGGCCGCGCCCGUGUGAAGCUCCUUYGACGAGUCGAGUUGUUUGGGAAUGCAGCUCUAAUUGGGUGGUAAAUUUCAUCUAAAGCUAAAUAUUGGCCGGAGACCGAUAGCGCACAAGUAGAGUGAUCGAAAGAUGAAAAGCACUUUGAAAAGAGAGUUAAACAGCACGUGAAAUUGUUGAAAGGGAAGCGCUUGCGACCAGACUCGCCCGCGGGGUUCAGCCGGCACUCGUGCCGGUGUACUUCCCCGCGGGCGGGCCAGYKUCRGUUUGGGCGGCCGGUCAAAGGCCUCUGGAAGGUAACGCCUCUCGGGGCGUCUUAUAGCCAGGGGUGCCAUGCGGCCUGCCCGGACCGAGGAACGCGCUUCGGCUUCGGAUYGGCKU